UAGUCCGCCAACUCCGCCAUUUUGUGUUACAUCCGGUUGCGGCGUUUGGUGACGCUUUAUUUAAUAUUGUUGUUUCUGUAUUUAUAAUACUAUUAGUAAAACAGUUGAGUCGUUUUGAUUUAUUUCAUAUUCUUCUCUAAGUAAACUAAGUAAGACCAAUGAUAUAAUUCAUUUUAAUGCGUAAUAUUUGAAAACUGAGAACUGCUUAAUGUGCAAUGUCUCGCUACGGUGACUGUAAAGUUUAUGUUGGUGAUCUUGGAAACAAUGCAAGCAAACCAGAAUUAGAAGAUGCGUUUUCUUACUAUGGCCCCUUAAGAAACGUGUGGGUGGCCAGAAACCCGCCAGGAUUUGCUUUUGUCGAGUUUGAAGAUCCACGUGAUGCUGAAGAUGCAAUACGGGGCUUGGACGGACGGACGAUAUGCGGCCGGCGCGCUCGUGUAGAAAUGUCAAACGGAGGACGUGGUUAUGGAGGACGUGGACCACCUCCUCGUUCCAGGUUACCACCUCGUCCUUACGAUGACCGUUGUUAUGACUGUGGUGAUCGCGGCCACUAUGCCAGAGACUGCACUCGCCGUCGCCGCCGCAGGUUAUCAUUGGCCUGUGCGCCGAGAACGAACUCUUCAGUGUCUGCACUUCUUAUAGUCUGCGCUACGUAGCUUUCACUUCGCGCCGUGUACUCCACUAAUGUUGGCAGCAACUGUAACUUCGCUCUGUGAACUACGUAACUACAGCCUACGUGCACACUUCACUUAUUGAGAAAUACAUUGAGUGUAAUGUUCGUUCUGCGCAUCGCGACACACCUCUAUUGUAAUCACUGCGUGCACUCACCGGUCGAGGUCCCGUCGUCGCACUCGUUCUCGUUCGCCGAGGUCGGGCUCCCGCUCACGAAGCCGUUCCCGUUCCCGGUCUCGCUCCAAAGGAAGAUCAAUCUCACGUUCGAGAUCACGUUCACCAUCAAAGGAUUCA